UGAGUAGGUAGAGGUUAAAUGAUGAAUGGUCGUCAGGAGAGGACGGUAACGUGUAGACCUACACAAAGUAGCAAGCUAGUGUGGAGGAAAAUGUAUAUGUGGUGCUUGGCAACAGUCCAGUCCCAGUCCAGUUGUGGAACCAAAUAAAUGAUGAAAUAAAUAAACAAAUCAUAAUCUGUCGCUUAUUACUGUUUACUGCGCUUGUAGAACUGUUGUAUAAAAGCAAUAUCACACUCGAGGUCCUGCUGUUAUACUGAAUACUAUUAUCUUCGGAACUCGGCCUGCGGCCUCGUACCUACGUCCGUAUCACAGCCAUGCUGAUAUUCAGCACUCCCUCUCGUGUGAUAUUGCUUAACUGACAUACGUUCAUCACAAUAUCUAGCUACAUAAGGGAGGCCUAUAAAUAAAAAGUCAAAGACGGUCCAAAUCUUUGAGUCACCUAACAACACCAUGAAUGAAAAUGGAAUGCAUGAGACAUAUCCGGGCAUGGAUCGCAUAUCAACCGCAGUAUUAAAAGGUAAUGUUCAUUUGUUUAUACCUGUCUACCUUUCUCCUUAGCAAUCUAACGUUAGCUAAUGUUGAUUUGAAUUGGAAAGUUGGCAAACCAAGUUAGCAUGCUAAUUUUAACUAGGUAAUGUUGACUGUUAGCAGUUAAUAACUGCACGAACGGCCAUUCGUUGAAAACACUUGAACUUUGGUUAGAUUGAUAGUGCUUUAUUGACAGAAAUAGUGUUAAUGAGGUGUAAAUGUGCCCUAAUGACUGACACCGUCGAUUAUUUAGCUUCCCCGUCUUUGGCACCCUUUCUAUUGACAAUAAAGACGGCGAAGCUAAAUUAUCGAUGGUGUAGGUCAUUGUCUACAAUCUUAGCUAGGCAAGCAAAGAUUAACGUAAUUAAGAUUUUUCAAUAUGGGCGACAAUUUAGCGUUAACGUUAGUUUCAUUAGCUUGCACUAUCUUUUGUUUUAAAUUAAUUAACGUCAACGUUAAUGAUAUACUGGUAGUCUAAUUUUGUUAGCUAACAUUAGCUAGCUUGGUAAAUCAUUACUGCAUUAACUGGAAAGGGAAGACAGUAUGCUAAUGUGUAAUAACCUAUAUCAACCUGACACUAUGAUUUAGUUACUAAUUGCUUAACUAUUUACCAUGUGGUUAAAUGUGUUUUCCAGCUGCUAAUAUAAGCACAGAUAUGCUGUCCAGCCUCUCUAAGGAGGAUUCCCGGGCCAGAGCACUUCUUCAGAAGGAGAACCAUUUGGAGACUUACUCAUGGUGAAAAUUAGGUAAUGUUAGAUUUUGACAUUUGGGAGACAUUUAAUCUAACCAUGCAGACAGUGUUUCCUGUUAUCAAAGUAGAAUUUCCUGGCCAUCAUUACAGUACAUGUAUCUAAAGAUGUAGUUGUUUUGGUAUUUGCUGUUAGGUUGUUGUUAUAGUGUGGUGUUCUUUGCCUUUAUAAUUACCAUUGAAUAAAUGUAUGUCUUAUACAGGGUCAAGAAUCAGACCUGUGUAGACCUCCUCUGGGACCUGUGAUUUCAGCCCCACUCCCAACCCCCUUCCUCCACCCUCCUGUCCCCUCCAUCCCCCACCCCUCUCCAAACCCAAGAGACCAACAUGGUGCCACCAGAACCAUACAGCUUGUCAGCCCACAGUAUGUCUUAUACACAGACACAGAGUUGGAGAAAUCAAGAAGCACCUUUUUUGAAAAACAGCAUGCUGGACAAGAAGGAGACUAUAUCCUUCCCAAAGAUCUUCGCUGUUGAUUAAUCAGGAAUAUAGUAACAAGCAUGAUUUCCAUUAAGAAAGCAGCAGGGGAUGACUUCCAGUAUCCAUGCAGCCGUAAACUCAGUGUAAUGGCGAAGCGUCUCAUAGAGUACUACACAAUGCUGCGGGACAGAUCUGCAACCGGCAGAGCUGAGUGGCUAAGUCACUACUCAGGUAUUCCACACGUUUCCAAACGCAGCACUGUUGGAUGCCUGGCAGCCAAAGUGCAAACAUCUGACACUCAAAAUAGGAGGGAUGUGCUUCAUCCAGAUCAAUCAGGGCAACAUGUGUCUGCUUGUAUCGUUUCAUUUCUGGAUUUGAUUUUGUUUAAUGUGAUUUAUAACACAACAAAUGUGUUGUUUGUUAGGAAUCUGUGAAGAAGCAGCUUUUGAAAAGGAUUCAGAAUGUGACAACCCCCAAAAAGAAGCAGGGAGCGACCCCUUGUUUUCGUAUAAAUGCAACUACUUCUACUACUACUCUAAACGAGGGACUAGAAACACUAUUUGACUAUUUCGUCUUCAGUGUUUCCUGUGGAAUGAGAGGUUCGGGUGGUAGUACCAGCGGAAACAUUGGUAUUCAUUGCAGUCUACAUUUUUAAAUGUUAAUUGAUCGGGUUUGUUACGUUUUCUGGCAUCAGAAACUACUGAGAGCCUACAGAACCAGUCAAGACAUUACACAACUCUACAGGAGAUGUACAAAACCAAGGCCAGGUGUAUUCAUUUUAAGUAAGCCUUUGCUUCCUUAGCCUGGUUAACACCAGACCGAAUCUCAAGUGAGAUAUGGUGUGGGAACUGAGCAGCGUGAGAAGCCAUAGCAGGGACGGGGGUAAACUACUUCAGGCAAAUGUAAAACAGUGAGCUCGCGAGAAUUCGGUCUGGUAGUAACCAGGUUAAUGCUUCCUACGCCUCCAGCUAGAUAGACAGGCGGAGUCUUACACUGUCUGUCUGUCUGUGUCUGUCUGUCUGUCUGUCUGUCUGUCUGUCUGUCUGUCUGUCUGUCUGUCUGUCUGUCUGUCUGUCUGUCUGUCUGUCUGUCUGUCUGUGAACUCCAGCGGAUCCUCAAUCGAGGGAACUCCCGCUUCAUACGUGAACUGAAGACCCGCUGGGGGACCUUUUACAACCAGGCACAGUUUAAUGGAGUGUUCAAAAAGGUCAUGAAGGCACCGCUGCUGGACAACGUGAAGCACUCAAUCGCCAUCAUGAAGGCUUUACCAGAUAUGUUCCCAUCACCUGUGGCUCCCCCCGAAGAAGUUAGGACAUGCAAGUGAGGCUAUGCGUCACAUCCUUGAGUCUGCAGAAGACCCCAACACCUUUCUUCAGGAGAGACCACUCUUCAGCCCUGUCGUGAUUGUCUGUGAAACCAACUGCGUUCUGGCCAUUGGAACCAUACCUGUGGUGACCUUCCCAAAAGAGGACAUCUAUGCCAGCGUGACAUAUCUCAUGGCAUGUUAUUACGCCUUUCACCUCACAUAUCCCAAGUGCAUUGCGACACUCCUCUCUGUGCUGCAGAUAGAAGUCCUCUCAGACGCCAUCCACGACCGGGACAUGACUUCUUCAUAGAAAAAGGCUAUGGCCGAGUGGAAAAAGUUCAUUACUGACUAGGUUUGCACGAUACAAUUUUUUAAUUUCCGGUCCCGAUAACAGAACUGGUUGUAUUGGCCGAUCCGAGAACAGAUCCAAUAACCUUUAAUAAAUAGGCAGGGCGUUUGUUGUUUAUUAUAAGAAGGUUUAAAGCACUGUUACGUUUGUUAUCUUGCCAUAGGUCUUACAUUUUCAUUUUUACCUUGACCACCAAUGGCCUUUGUUGUUGUUGUUUUUGAAUCCUUUGUUCUGCCCAUAUCAGCCGCUGGAUAUACUGAGUCCUCAAUAAAGAAGUGAA